UGGCUCAGGACGAACGCUGGCGGCGUGCCUAACACAUGCAAGUCAAGCGAGGAGAUCCUCGGGAUGAUCCUAGCGGCGGACGGGUGAGUAACACGUGGGCAACCUGCCUCAUAGAGAGGAAUAGCCUUCCGAAAGGGAGAUUAAUACCUCAUAACAUUGCAGUUUCGCAUGGAACAGCAAUUAAAGGAGUAAUCCGCUAUGAGAUGGGCCCGCGGCGCAUUAGCUAGUUGGUGAGGUAACGGCUCACCAAGGCGACGAUGCGUAGCCGACCUGAGAGGGUGAUCGGCCACAUUGGGACUGAGACACGGCCCAGACUCCUACGGGAGGCAGCAGUGGGGAAUAUUGCACAAUGGGGGAAACCCUGAUGCAAGCAACGCCGCGUGAGUGAUGACGGCCUUCGGGUUGUAAAGCUCUGUCUUCAGGGACGAUAAUGACGGUACCUGAGGAGGAAGCCACGGCUAACUACGUGCCAGCAGCCGC
rnacentral:rRNA from 1 species